rnacentral:tRNA from 1 species
GCGAGCGUAGCUCAGCGGGAGAGCACCGCCUUCACACGGCGGGGGUCAUAGGUUCAAACCCUAUCGCUCGCACUA